ACGAACGCUGGCGGCAUGCCUAAUACAUGCAAGUCGAACGAGAUCUUCGGAUCUAGUGGCGCACGGGUGCGUAACGCGUGGGAAUCUACCCUUGGGUUCGGAAUAACGUCGGGAAACUGACGCUAAUACCGGAUGAUGACGUAAGUCCAAAGAUUUAUCGCCCAAGGAUGAGCCCGCGUAGGAUUAGCUAGUUGGUGGGGUAAAGGCCUACCAAGGCUACGAUCCUUAGCUGGUCUGAGAGGAUGAUCAGCCACACUGGGACUGAGACACGGCCCAGACUCCUACGGGAGGCAGCAGUAGGGAAUAUUGGACAAUGGGGGCAACCCUGAUCCAGCAAUGCCGCGUGAGUGAUGAAGGCCUUAGGGUUGUAAAGCUCUUUUACCCGAGAUGAUAAUGACAGUAUCGGGAGAAUAAGCUCCGGCUAACUCCGU
rnacentral:rRNA from 1 species